UACGGGGGGGGUAAGCGUUGUUCGGAAUUACUGGGCGUAAAGGGCUCGUAGGCGGCCAACUAAGUCAGACGUGAAAUCCCUCAGCUUAACUGGGGAACUGCGUCUGAUACUGGAUGGCUUGGAUUCGGGAUAGAAAUGCGGAAUUCCAGGUGUAGCGGUGAAAUGCGUAGAGAUCCGGCGGAACACCGGUGGUGGAAGCGGCACCCUGGGCCGAGGCCGACGCUGAGGCGCGAGAGCGUGGGGAGCGAACCGG
rnacentral:rRNA from 1 species